CGCGCGCAACACAAAAUUCUCUUUUGUGAAAUUAGAAAACCUACAUUUUUCUCUCUUAAACUCGCGCGCAACACACCUCUCAUCAUAAUUCUCUUUUGUGAAAUUAGAAACCCUAAACGACGUUUGAGUGCCAUUCAUUCUCGGCUCCGACUUUUCCAGCAUCGUCGACGCCGUUGGUCCCCGUUUGCGCCUUCGCCGGCCAAGGUACCUUCGCCGAGGUCAGGUGUUGCUGGUUUUGGGUGCUGCUAGAAGUGUGGGCCUUGCUGCUGUGCAAAUUGGAAAAGCUUGUGGGGCCCUUGUUGUACUACUGAAGAUACCAGAUCCUGUAAAAAAGAAGGCCACAGAUAUUGCUCUUGCUGAAAUAGAGAAAGAGAAAAGGUUGUCUAAUGUGAAGGCAUGGGAAGAAAGUGAAAAAUCUUGAGAAUAAAGAUACCAGAUCUUGUAAAAAAGAAGGCCACAAGUGGAUCCUUUGAUAGAGGAACAAAUCGAAGUAGGUUUGACUCAAAGCAUAGUUGAUGAAUCAGAAGUUUCUCCUCUAGAUGUUGUUGGUAGAGUGUUAGGGCCAGAGCACUCCGGGAGAGUACGAUGCAUGGGAUUGGGUGCUGUUUCUUCUAAUACAUUUAGGAAUACAAGACUUCGCGUUUCUAGCUUGAGCUCCUCUUCAUCUGGUGUUGCCUUUCCAUCUUUAAACCAAUGGCAAGAGAAAUACAACAAUUUAGAAUCAGCUUUUAAGGCCUACAUGAUAAUGAAGGAAGGAAGGAUCCCUGAAGAAUUAGCUAGUUAUUUCACUCCUGAAACACAUCCAAACGAUGCUUCAAGUGGUCCUAAUACACCUUUGGAUGCAAGAGGAUCAUCUGGUGCUAGCAACCCUUAGUUUGCAUAUAAUGUAUUUUGGAAUUAAAGUUUAGUAUGAGGCUAAUUUGACAAUGUUAUGGAUUUUAUGUUGUACUUGGAUUUAUAAUAGAAGUUUGAAUUAUAAAUCUUUGAACUAUAUGUUGUGUUUUUGGUUAUUAGUAAUGGAAUUUCUUCAUCCA